AGGCUGAUUGUCACAGUGAAAUGGAACUGGGAUGUUUAUAGAGAGAGAGCCUUUUACUUGAACUAACUGUGAUUCAGUAGAGGGGGCAGUAUGAUACCCGGAGAGGAGGAUAAUGGUAGAGCACCCUCAGGCUGUUAAAAGUGCCUUCAAACAAUCAUAUUUAUGAAAGAAAGACCAGGCGUUCAUGUUAUACUUCCUGCUCCUUGUGAGGAUGUUUGCAUCCUGAAAACUUUUUCCACUAUUCAGCCAUCUGAGCUGCAAGCAUUUAUUUAUAAAAAUACUCCUUCACAUUUUUUCUGAGGGGCAAGAUCCUAAUUGAGGCCUUUCAGUACCUGAUGGGAGACUACAAGAAAGAUAGAGAGAGACUGUUUACAAGGACAUGAAGUGACAGAACAAGGGGAAAUGGCUUCAGACUCAGAGCAGGUUUAGAUUAGAUUUUUUGAACAAAUUCUUUACUGUGAGAGCCCAGGAAUAUGUUACCCAGAGAAGAUGUGGAUGCUCCAUCCUUGGAAGUGUGCAAGGCCAGGUUG